GAUGAACGCUGGCGGCGUGCCUAACACAUGCAAGUCGAGCGAUUCACUUCGGUGAAGAGCGGCGGACGGGUGAGUAACGCGUGGGUAACCUGCCUCAUACACAUGGAUAACAUACCGAAAGGUAUGCUAAUACAAGAUGAUAUAAGAGAUUCGCAUGGAUUUCUUAUCAAAGCUCCGGCGGUAUGAGAUGGAGCCGCGUCUGAUUAGCUAGUUGGUAAGGUAACGGCUUACCAAGGCGACGAUCAGUAGCCGACCUGAGAGGGUGAUCGGGCACAUUGGAACUGAGACACGGUCCAAACUGCUGCGGGAGGCAGCAGUGGGGAAUAUUGCACAAUGGGCGAAAGCCUGAUGCAGCAACGCCGCGUGAGCGAUGAAGGCCUUCGGGUCGUAAAGCUCUGUCCUCAAGGAAGAUAAUGACGGUACUUGAGGAGGAAGCCCCGGCUAACUACGUGCCAGCCGCCGCAGUAACAC
rnacentral:rRNA from 1 species